UUUUAGGGCAUCAAUUUUCUUUUAAAAAAAACAACCGUUUCUUCAUUUUUUACAAAGUGCAUUAAUUUUAUUAUACAAUGGAGUCCCAAAAUCAUUUAAUCGACCAUACUUACAAUAUCUCACCCAUUCAAGAUAUAGCUGACGCAGGUCGUGUUGUUGUUGACGACAAUAUUCAGUUUUGGCCAGUUGGAGAUCGACCCAAUUCUUACCAAUUCAUUUGUAGUGUCCAUCGAAAUGAAGAAGUUAUUCAGGAUAAUUUAUGAUACUUAAAAUGUAAUGAAACGGCAAGUAAUGGAUGUCCAGCUACAGCUUUCAUUUCUACCAUUAUUGAGGAUAAAUCGUUUUCACUCUUCACUAAAACUAUAUUGACUACAUAAUCAUCCAGCUAGACCAUCAGACAAUGUAUUAAGAGAACUGAGAAAUUUACUUGGUGACAAAUGUAUAAAACAUUCUGCUCGCUCAUAUUCAGCUCGCACUUUAUACAUCGAAAUCACCCAGAAGGUGCUACCAAUUAUGCAUUUCUACAAGCUACUGAGAAAAUGAAAAAUAUAAAUCUGUUUUUCCACCUACACCUAGAAACCUGCAAGAUUUGAAUAAUUUAUUAUUAUUAAAAUAUAAUAGACAUUUCAAACACCAGGAAGUUUAUUCUAUCAAGGACCACUGAUGGUUGAUGGCACAAUUGUCGGGAUAUAGUUAAGCAAUAUUAAAUAUAUUUAAAACAUAAAAAAUGAUUUAAAAUAUGUAAUUUAACGUAUUGAGAAUUGUCUUAGAGUAUUUAUAUUUAUUAAUUAUGAUUAACUUGUUUGUAGGUAAGAAUAGCCGGUUGUGAUGGUACAUUUAAAACGAUUCUGAAAACAGUGGUGAUUGUUACCAACUCUUUACAUUUCAUAUAAUAUACAAUAAUGUUGUAAAUAUUAGCUAUAAAUAUCACCAAAAAAUGUUAAAAAGGACGUUGUACCCACGUGAGUAGUCUCCGUCUUACAUACGUCCGACACAGCAAAUUUCCGUUCACCAGAUUCUAUAGUGUGCUAUUAUUCUUUAUAUUAGAGUUUAUUUACCUAUUAUAAAAUUAAAAGGCGAGAUUACUAUCGUAUAAUAUGAUACAUAUACAUU